AUAGUUAAGAGGGGAUUGUGUGUUCUUUUCCUGUCCAUUUCCUCUAUUGCCUUCCUAGUAUCAAUUGCUGCUGCUGCUUACCCCAGUAGAUAUGGAUCUAGAAACUGCAUGCUUUGGCCAUUGAUCGGAUCAAGGUCUGAAUGUGGAUAAAUGGGAAGAGGUGGAUAAAAGAGCCUCCUCACUGAUUUUCCCACCUGAGAAAGGCUAUAUGGUCAGAAGUGUGGGCCUGAAGUCAGAAGAUGCUGGCUGUAGUCCUCACCAGUCACCAGUUGACUCACCUUUACAGACGUUUUUGAGCACCUACUAUGGGGGUAAACUAACUACGGACUUUGAGGAAUGCAUUACUUUUCUCUGAGCCUGAAGUUUUUCAUCUAGGAAAUAAAUGAAGCUGGGACUAGA